GUGCCAGCCGCCGCGGUAAUACGUAGGCAGCAAGCGUUGUUCGGAGUUACUGGGCGUAAAGAGUGCGUAGGUGGUGCCCUAAGUCUGUUGUGAAAUCUCCCGGCUUAACUGGGAGGGUGCGGUGGAAACUGGGGUGCUUGAGUGUGGGAGAGGUAAGCGGAAUUCCUGGUGUAGCGGUGAAAUGCGUAGAUAUCAGGAGGAACACCGGUGGUGUAGACGGCUUACUGGACCACGACUGACACUGAGGCACGAAAGCGUGGGUAGCAAACAGGAUUAGAAACCCCCGUAGUCC
rnacentral:rRNA from 1 species